rnacentral:rRNA from 1 species
AUUGAACGCUAGCGGCAUGCCUAACACAUGCAAGUCGAACGAGAGGCGGACGGGUGAGUAAUGUCUGGGACACUGACUGAUGGAGGAGUAUAACUACGGGAAACGGUAGCUAAUUCCGCCUACCAUCGGCUGUGCCCAGAUGGGAGUAGCUAGUGGGUGGGGUAACGGCAAACCAAGGCGACGAUCCGUAGCUGGUCUGAGAGGAUGACCAGCCACACUGGAACUGAGACACGGCCCAGACUCCUACGGGAGGCAGCAGUGGGGAAUAUUGCACAAUGGGGGAAAGCCUGAUGCAGCCAUGCCGCGUGUGUGAAGAAGGCCUUCGGGUUGUAAAGUACUUUCAGCGGGGAGGCGUUACCUGCAGAAGAAGCACCGGCUAACUCCGUGCCAGCCGCCGCGGUAAUUC